rnacentral:rRNA from 1 species
UACGUAGGGGGCAAGCGUUAUCCGGAUUUACUGGGUGUAAAGGGAGCGUAGGCGGCGUUGCAAGUCAGAUGUGAAACCCCGGGGCUUAACUCCGGGACUGCAUUUGAAACUGCGAUGCUAGAGUGCGGGAGAGGUAAGCGGAAUUCCUAGUGUAGCGGUGAAAUGCGUAGAUAUUAGGAAGAACACCGGUGGCGAAGGCGGCUUACUGGACCGUAACUGACGCUGAGGCUCGAAAGCGUGGGGAG